rnacentral:rRNA from 1 species
AAUCAACGCUGGCGGCGUGCCUCAGACAUGCAAGUCGAACGCGAAACGUCCCCCUCGGGGGACAAGUAGAGUGGCGCACGGGUGAGUAACACGUAGGUAAUCUACCUUCGGGUGGGGAAGUAACAAUCGGAAACGGUUGCUAAUACCGCAUAAUGCAGCGGCACCUAAUGGUGACAGUUGUUAAAGCGGGGGAGUCGCAAGAUCUCGCGCCUGAAGAGGAGCCUGCGGCGGAUUAGCUAGUUGGUAGGGUAAUGGCCUACCAAGGCGACGAUCCGUAGCCGGCCUGAGAGGGCGGUCGGCCACACUGACACUGACAUACGGGUCAGACUCCUACGGGAGGCAGCAGUCGGGAAUUUU